CCUGAGAAACCUAAAAGUUCGAAAGGAGAGAUUCAAUGUCAGUUUGUAUUGUAUUCACGUGAGUAGAGAUGUGAGAUUUUAUUAUAAGAGUCAAAUCUUUUAAUGAUACUUGCACUUUUUCAUGUUUUUUUAUUGCAAUACUAUAGCCGGCGUGCACUUCUCUCCUAGUAGAACGUCCCGACCCGUUGAGUCUUGGCCUACGGCACAGAUGGUUGCCUUUAAUACAGCGGUAUUAAAGACCUCUGAUGUACUCCUGGCUGAAGUGCUCGACGGUAGUUAAUGAUAUGGUAUUAAGCCGCAAAUUUAUUUGUGCGUCUGGCCUGUCGCAACAUUAGUGACAUUUUCCGUAUAUCAUAGACUUUGUUCUAAGAUUAUGGUGUGUUGUUUUGCUUGGCAGUGUUCUUAGACUGGCUUUCAUAUACCUGUCGGGGACGCUUAGGCUUUGGGUACUCUCAGGACCCGUCUUGAAACACGGACCAAGGAGUCUAACAUGUACGCGAGUCAUUGGGUAUAUAUUUUUCUUCGGAAAUUUAUAUAAAACAAACCUAAAGGCGUAAUGAAAGUAAAAGUUAAACCUUGUGUUUAACUUAGGGAUGAUGAGUUAUCCUAGGAUAAUUCCGCAAUCCCAGGGCGUCUUAAUCUCUUCGAGAUGA
rnacentral:rRNA from 1 species